rnacentral:rRNA from 1 species
CCCUACGGGGGGCAGCAGUGAGGAAUAUUGGUCAAUGGGCUUACGCCUGAACCAGCCAAGUCGCGUGAGGGAAGACUGCCCUAUGGGUUGUAAACCUCUUUUGUCAGGGAGCAACGUCGGCUACGUGUAGCCGGACUGAGAGUACCUGAAGAAAAAGCAUCGGCUAACUCCGUGCCAGCAGCCGCGGUAAUACGGAGGAUGCGAGCGUUAUCCGGAUUUAUUGGGUUUAAAGGGUGCGUAGGCGGAAUGCCAAGUCAGCGGUAAAAUCGCGGGGCUCAACCUCGCUCCGCCGUUGAAACUGGCGU